CCUACGGGGGGCUGCAGUGGGGAAUAUUGGUCAAUGGGCGCAAGCCUGACCCAGCAACGCCGCGUGAAGGAAGAAGGCUUUCGGGUUGUAAACUUCUUUUAAGGGGGAAGAGCAGACGCCGUUACCCCUUGAAUAAGCCACGGCUAACUACGUGCCAGCAGCCGCGGUAAUACGUAGGUGGCAGGCGUUGUCCGGAUUUACUGGGUGUAAAGGGCGUGCAGCCGGAGAGACAAGUCAGAUGUGAAAUCCACGGGCUCAACCCGUGAACUGCAUUUGAAACUUUUUCCCUUGAGUGUCGGAGAGGUAAUCGGAAUGCGUGGUGUAGCGGUGAAAUGCGUAGAUAUAAGGAAGAACACCAGUGGCGAAGGCGGAUUACUGGACGAUAACUGACGGUGAGGCGCGAAAGCGUGGGGAGCAAACAGGAUUAGAUACCCGUGUAGUC
rnacentral:rRNA from 1 species